rnacentral:rRNA from 1 species
UACGUAGGGUGCAAGCGUUAAUCGGAAUUACUGGGCGUAAAGCGUGCGCAGGCGGCUAUGCAAGACAGAUGUGAAAUCCCCGGGCUCAACCUGGGAACUGCAUUUGUGACUGCAUGGCUAGAGUACGGUAGGGGGGGAUGGAAUUCCGCGUGUAGCAGUGAAAUGCGUAGAUAUGCGGAGGAACACCGAUGGCGAAGGCAAUCCCCUGGACCUGUACUGACGCUCAUGCACGAAAGCGUGGGGAGCAAACAGG